rnacentral:rRNA from 1 species
GGGAUAUUGGACAAUGGGGGGAACCCUGAUCCAGCGACGCCGCGUGAGUGAAGAAGUAUCUCGGUAUGUAAAGCUCUAUCAGCAGGGAAGAAGAAAUGACGGUACCUGAGUAAGAAGCCCCGGCUAACUACGUGCCAGCAGCCGCGGUAAUACGUAGGGGGCAAGCGUUAUCCGGAAUUACUGGGUGUAAAGGGAGCGUAGACGGCGUGCCAAGUCUGGUGUGAAAGGCCGGGGCUCAACCCCGGGACUGCAUUGGAAACUGGCAUGCUGGAGUGCCGGAGGGGCAAGCGGAAUUCCUAGUGUAGCGGUGAAAUGCGUAGAUAUUAGGAGGAACACCGGUGGCGAAGGCGGCUUGCUGGACGGUAACUGACGUUGAGGCUCGAAAGCGUGGGGAGCAAACAG